rnacentral:misc_RNA from 1 species
AGAGAGAGAAAGAGAGAGAGACAGAUUUUGAGAGAUAUUUUUCUUUCAUUGUGAUUUAUCUAUGAUUAAAGUUUCUAAUUAGUACAUCAUAGUAAGUUUGUGACACGAUUCAUGUAUCUUGUUCAGAAUGAGUGUAAUUGUGUCAUUUGAAAUGAGACAUGAUAUGUUUAAACAUGACAUGACACAUAAUGCCAACCCCAACUGCUGCCCCGUAACCCAG